UAGGGAAUCUUCCGCAAUGGGCGAAAGCCUGACGGAGCAACGCCGCGUGAGUGAUGAAGGUCUUCGGAUCGUAAAACUCUGUUAUUAGGGAAGAACAAAUGUGUAAGUAACUAUGCACGUCUUGACGGUACCUAAUCAUAAAGCCACGGCUAACUACGUGCCAGCAGCCGCGGUAAUACGUAGGUGGCAAGCGUUAUCCGGAAUUAUUGGGCGUAAAGCGCGCGUAGGCGGUUUUUUAAGUCUGAUGUGAAAGCCCACGGCUAAACCGUGGAGGGUCAUUGGAGACUGGAAAACUUGAGUUCAGAAGAGGAAAGUGGAAUUCCAUGUGUAGCGGUGAAAUGCGCAGAGAUAUGGAGGAACACCAGUGGCGAAGGCGACUUUCUAGUCUGUAACUGACGCUGAUGUGCGAAAGCGUGGGGAUCAAACAGG
rnacentral:rRNA from 1 species